AAAAAAAAAAUGAUCUUACAAUUUGAAAAAAGUGUACGUUUUAUUUAGCUAUCACAUGUUUUAAAUCUCGUUUCAUUCUUCUAUCAGAAUCCCCACAUUCUACGUCUACGAGAAACAAAUUCGUUCAUUAUAACAUUUUAUUGUCUUAAUUGCCCAAUCCCUCUUUAAAAGCCCAUUUCCGAUAGCUCAAGCCACGUGCAGACACUUCCAAAACUAGACACACCAAUGAUUUACUUAUCGACUAAUGACAUUUGGUCUUCUACCAUUUCUCUUGCCCAUCAUAAAAAAUAUGUCAAAAAACCUUCAGCUGUCUCAUACUAGAAAUAUUACCUAAUAGACAGACAAUACGAAAUCAACAACAUCACUAUGAAUACGGCACAUCUUAUAAAUAACCACGUUAUCUCGACUAUGUAUAAGUUGCAGUAUGUUGCAAUCAUAGAGAGUCUUUGUGUGUGAUAAAGACGCAAUUCUGUGGCGAUUGCAAUGAGACACACACGUCAACCACGGUAUGCUAAAGUAAACAAUUGUAUGCCCACAAAAUGGCCUACCAGAACGAUAUGAAAUUCUAUAAGGGUCUUACACUUCAAGAGCGAGACAGUAUUCUAAAUGGGGUAUUUUCCCCAAAUGUAACAGUAUGACCUUAAAAGAUGGAAAUAGGCUCUCAGAAAAUGCUUAGGACAUGGAUCAGCUAUCAAGCAUGGUGAAUAAUAAUUCUUCUCAGAGUAGACAGUUCUUUCUGCCUCAGAAGAAGGAAAGACUUCUCUACAUGAAGGAAAAUGGAGAACGUCUCCUUAACAUUACCAGAUUCUUCAUAACUUCGAGAGCAGCGACGCUAGAUUGGAAGCAAUUUUUAUAAUACCAUAGUGGCUAACUAUAUUACCUGCACUGUAAUACAGGAAGUUAACCUUAUAAAAUAAUGAAAAAUACGAUUCGGAUUUUCUAAGCCUGUACUUACUAAUGUAUCGAGCUACAAAAUAAGUGCGAGAUAAUCUCCUAAAAUAAUGGUCCCUUUUGAAUUAAACUUUUUAUAUUUGAUAGCUCAAUCUUCUAGGAAGUUUCUAAAGUUUUUAAUGAUAAUAUUGCGGCUUCAUCGAUCUUAAACUUGGAUUAGAUAUUAAUUACUUUAAAAAGUGUUUAAUUUUUAAUGUUGCAAGAUAAACA